AUGUUCGGGUUGGUUGUAUUUCAGACUUCUCCUUGCUGUCCUGAUCUGUGGGUGUGUGAUCUCUGCACCAUGCUGGUUCCCAUCAACUUCAUUCUGCUCUUGGCGCUGUCAUGGCACCCUACGGUUGUCACGGGAGGUAGAGCACAGCGGAGACAAAGGCAAGCUGAGGAGUCGUUAAAGCCCUACCAUGGAAGAGUGGAUCCAGAGAAGUUGUGUGAGCUGCUGAAAUGUCACAGUCCAGCAGGAUCCUGGUGUCAGGUGGUGGAAGAGGCAGGGAUUCUCAUCCCAAAGUGUGUGUGUCCUCAGACUUGUCCACGCCAGGGGGUGCCAGUGUGCAGUGUUUUGGGGAAGACGUACGGAAAUGAGUGUCUACUGCAUAAAGAAUCCUGUCGCAAGAGACGUCGCAUUGGUCUCGCUCACCCUGGGACUUGUAUGGUGCCCAAGGCUCAGUGUAAAGAGGAGGAGUUUGGUCAGUUUCCCUACCGGCUGCUGGACUGGUUCUUGCUCUUGAGCCGUAUGGGGGAGAGUUAUGAUCCCAAUGCCCCCUCUCAGAGCUGCCUGAGCCGAACAGCACGCAUCCAGCUCGCCCAGCGGAGGUUUGUCCUCCUGGACCGGAACCAGGAUGGGAAAUUGAGCCGGCGGGAUCUGAAGAAGCUGCAUUAUAAAAGGAUGCCUCUGGAGCAUUGUGCCAAGAGAUUCUUCCAAUCGUGUGACAAGAACAGGAACAAGAAGGUGACCCUGAAGGAGUGGACCUCGUGCCUGGUGAAGGGGUCUGAGCGCUGGUUCCAGCAUUACAUGUCUAUGAAGAUGGGUUCUCGCAAGUUAUGUCCUACAACUGAAAGCAAUCUUUAGUUCAGCUGCAGACAAAAUAAAAACACUCUUAUGGAGGGUUAAAUCA
rnacentral:lncRNA from 1 species